UCUUUUUUCAUUUUUCCUCUUCUCUCUCUUCUUUCAUUUUUCAUUUUCAUCCCCUCUCUUCGCCUCUAUUCCCCUCUUCGCAAAUCGAAAACGAAAUCGAGGCUCCUAAAUCAAUAAUCUAAUCCAUGGAUUGUUGAAAGCCUUCGAAUUCGACAAUCGUUAAUAAAUAUUCAAUUUCUGUGGUUUACAAUUGAUUGAAUUUAAAUCCAUGAAUUGUUUCUAAUUUUGUUCGAGAUUUAUUGCAGGGGAACUCAGUUGAUUAAGAAUGGUGAGUCUCGAAGCUUCGUUCGAGAUAACGAAGCAUGGUGGAAGCGAGUCAACUCAGUUGUUUACUCGAAGCAUGGAAGCGAGUCAACUCAGUUGUUGACUGAGUUGACCAGGUGAGUCUCAUGUGGUCCAAACCAUGAGCCCAGGUGCUUUCUGAGAGCGUUAAUACUCGAGAGAGAUUAACAUUGCUUUAAUUACCUGAUCAAUUGAAUUACUAAAAGUGAUUAUACGUGUAAUCAUGUUUCGAGAGUGUUGAUGCUUGAGAGAGAUUAACAUACUCUUGUUAUUUGACCACUUUAAUUGCUUUAGCUUAGAAGCCAAUUAUUGUGUAAGCAUGGUGGACCUGAUUGCCCUGGACUUUUAAUAUAUUAUUUUCUUGUCUUAUUAGUUAGUGUUAAUUUAGUUAUAUUAGUUAGUUAAAUAUUUUUACUCAUCGUUUGCUCUUGAAACAAUCGACUUUAACUAAAUAAAAUUGAUAGCAUCUGUCUCCUUCAGGAUACGACCCGCAUUUGUCAGUCUGCACUACAACAGACACCGUGCGCUUGCGGUUAGUUAUAAAAUAACACAUCAGAGCGCGGGAGUUGCGGGAGUUGAGUGAGGUGAGGUUGAGCGAGGAGAGAGAGAGCGAGGGAGGUGAGGUUGAGCGAUGAGGUUAACUGUAAUUAGCGAUGAGAUAGUGGAGAAUAACUGUACUUAGCUUCGAUUUGGGGGGGAAAACAUGCCGCCCAUUUUUCGGACACGCAUUCAUUUUUAUUUUUAAUAUAUUUAUUUUAAUAUUUUAACAUUCUUUUGAUAUUUAAUAUUAUGUUUUAUAAAUUUAAUAAGUACAAAUAAAGCAAUAUUUAAUAUAUUCUUAUAUUUUCAGAAAUUUAUUUUUUAAAUUACAUUAUUAUACAAUAUCGUUUAAAAGAUAUUUAAAAACAUGAAAGUGAAAGUAUAACUAGCAUUAUUGUAUUACAUUGUCUAUUGAGACACGACACAACCCGUGCACUAUAUUUUUCAAUUAUUUUUUCCCAACACUAGUAAGGGUAUUUAAUAUCAUCCGUACGGUUGGAUCGUCUUAAAAGAUAUUCGAAAAAAACAAACAAUCAAUCCAUGACUAUCCCCAAUACAAGUAUUCUGUGCUACACAACUUACACUACAGAGAUACGACACAAACCAUGCACUAUAUUUUUUCAUUAUUUUUUCCCAACACUAGCAAGGGUAUUUAAUAUCAUCCGUACGGUUGGAUCGUCUUAAAAGAUAUUCAAAAAAAACAAACAGUCAAUCCAUGACUAUCCCCAAUACAAGUAUUCUGUGCUACACAACUUACACUACAGAGAUACGACACAACCCGUGCACUAUAUUUUUCGAUUAUUUUUUCCCAACACUCGGAAGGGUAUUUAAUAUCAUCUGUACGGUUGGAUCGUCUUAAAAGAUAUUCAAAAAAAACAAACAGUCAAUCCAUAACUAUCCCCAAUACAAGUAUUCUGUGCUACACAACUUACACUAUAGAGAUACGACACAACCCGUGCACUAUAUUUUUCGAUUAUUUUUUCCCAACACUCGGAAGGGUAUUCAAAAAGAUAUUCAAAAAUUUAAUCAUUUUGACUGUUAUAGGAUUGCCCAAAAUCAUUUUUAAAAUUUGUUCAUAAAUAUUCAAAGGGCACUUUGACCGUUUUGACUAUUAUAGAAUUGCCCCAAAUCAUUUUUAAAAUUUGUUCAAAAAUAACACUUGUGGGACCCACAAGUGCCACAUCAGCAGAAGUGGGACCCACAUGUGGGGACCACAUGCCACGUCAGCAAAUGUGGGUCCCUAUAUAGUAAUAAUAUCUCCGCGCGGCUCAUCUCUGAAACACACAUCCCGAGCCUCUUUUUUCAUUUUCUCAAUUUUAUCUUCUUCUUUCAUUUUUCCUCUUCUCUUCUUUCAUUUUUCCUCUUCUCUCUCUUCUUUCAUUUUUCAUUUUCAUCCCCUCUCUUCGCCUCUCUUCCCCUCUUCGCAAAUCGAAAACGAAAUCGAGGCUCCUAAAUCAAUAAUCUAAUCCAUGGAUUGUUGAAAGCCUUCGAAUUCGACAAUCGUUAAUAAAUAUUCAAUUUCUGUGGUUUACAAUUGAUUGAAUUUAAAUCCAUGAAUUGUUUCUAAUUUUGUUCGAGAUUUAUUGCAGGGGAACUCAGUUGAUUAAGAAUGGUGAGUCUCGAAGCUUCGUUCGAGAUAACGAAGCAUGGUGGAAGCGAGUCAACUCAGUUGUUUACUCGAAGCAUGGAAGCGAGUCAACUCAGUUGUUGACUGAGUUGACCAGGUGAGUCUCAUGUGGUCCAAACCAUGAGCCCAGGUGCAAAUCUAUGGUUUACAAUUUUUCAUUCGAAUUCGAAUUCAUUUUCUGUGGUUUACAAUUGAUUGAAUUUAAAUCCAUGUACAUAUUGAGCUUCUUUGGUACUAAUUUAAAUCCAUGUACAUAUUGAUCUUCUUUGAGCUUCUGUGUUAAUUCUUUCAGUUUAUGUUGUGUUUAUGGUGCUAAGUGUGUUUAUGGUGCUAAUUGUGUUUAUUGUGAUUAUAACAAAAACUAUGGUGAAUUAUGGAAAAAACAAGUGAAUUAUUCAAAAAGUCUCUGGGAAAGAUUUACAAAAAACGAGUUUUAAGGAGGGGCAUCAGUUUGAAUAAAACGAGUUUUAAGGAUUUACAAAAAACGAGCAUUUUAAGGAUUUACGAAGAAAACGAGUUUUAUGGAUUUUUAGUCUGUUGGCAUUUUAAAGCAUUUGUCUGUUGGCAAGAACAAAUGGGCAAGAACAAGUGGGCAAGUGGGCUUCAUUAAGAUCAGCAAACUAGCAACUAGCAACUAGCAACUGAGAUUAAUCACUACUACACGCUACUGAGAUUAAUCACUACUAGCAACUUUUUAGUCUAAUUGAGUAAACACUACAUGUUUUUCAAAAGAAUCAUUAAGACAAAAACUGAGAAAGAAACAAAACUUCAAAAUCAGAUGAAUACAAACAGAGAAACCAAAAGACCAUAAACUAAAAUCACCUACUUAAACGAAACCAUACACUAAAAUAACCAUACUUAAACGAAACCAC
rnacentral:lncRNA from 1 species